rnacentral:tRNA from 1 species
AAAAUUUUAAGUUAAUUAAACUAUAAACCUUCAAAGUUUAAUAUAUAUAUUAUUCUAAUAUAUAAAUUUUA